AAGUCGUAACAAGGUUUCCGUAGGUGAACCUGCGGAAGGAUCAUUAACGUAUCUCUGGCGGUGGCCUCCGCGCCCUGCUCCGGCUCCGGCCGUGCAGCGGGCGAGCCGCGCCCCGUCGAACCUUCACAAACCCCACCGUGCACAUUGACGGUCGAAGGGCCCCUCCUUUGCGGGAGGACCCGGAAGCCGCUUCCACAAACACGCAAACCAUUUGAAUGUAAAGCGUCCUCCGAGUCGCCUAAAUUUGAAACAACUUUCAACAACGGAUCUCUUGGCUCUC
rnacentral:misc_RNA from 1 species